AUGUGUGUGUCUGGUCUGACUCUGACUGCUCUUGGCUCUGUUACACUGCCUGCUGCAUCUAUCAGAGAGGCUGAAGCCUGUUUCUGGGCCAAGUCCAGCAAAGCUCUCAGCAGAGGGUGUCACUGUGAAUUAUGUCCAACCCAUGGCUCACCACGGUUCUUCAGCAGUUUCAUGUCCUUUCUGGCUUUCGGCCUCAUUUUUGUCGUUUCAGCUUGUGAUGCGAAGGUGGGCUUGUUCAUCUUCCUCAUGCUGAGAACCUCCAGAUCUGAGCGCUUCAAGUGAGCUAUUAUGACUAUCCAGUAUAAUACACUUUUCACAAAAAUAUUAAACAGCACGGUUAUCUUCAACAUUGAUAAAAAUCUUCAUUGUUUCUUAAAUGAUUUGUGAAGAAUCAUGUGACACUGAAACUGCCGUCAUGUGAAAUCCUGUGAAACUGCAUUUGUUCAUCUAUAUGCCCAUGCGUUCUACUGUUUCACCACUUCUUCCUGUUUUCAGGCAUCUGAUGGUGCAUCUGGCGGAGAGCAAGAGUCUCUUCAGGCUCCACUGGCUGCUGCCCAUCUACUUCCUGUUUGCCGCGGCUUACAACAUCUUCCAGAGCAUCCUAGCGAUCACUGAGAACAUGUUGCUCAUCCUCCCCAACAAUUCUUCUCUUGGAUGAGAGAGCUGAGAGAGUUGAGAGAGACUGGAUAUCAGGUGGGACAACCUAUGCUGCUGAGAUCCCUCAGGAACGGACAGUUAUUACCUCACACUGUGCCAGUGACCCAAAGCAAACACACACAGCACAGAUAAUGUGUCCACUACUCCAGAGGAUACACACACUGAUCACUGAACAAGCCUGGGGCGAUCCUUCAACCCAAACUUCAUUUACAAUACUGCCCCAGUAUAAAGCAUGUGACACAAAAGAUUUAUAGAUGUUCUUUGGGAAAAAGGCCCCUCGUUUAUGCGUAUUUUUUUAUAUCCCCCCACUUCAUUUUCAUCCUGUAAAUUGCAUGUGCUCUCAGUGAGCUAGGAAAACAUAUUUUGAUUUCCUCAGCAAUGCCCAGUGAUUAAAUCUGCAAUCGUGUCAUCAAACCAAAGCAACGUUUCCAGAAAAGCUGCAACAAAAAGAUCUUUAAGGUAAUGAUGGGCUAUUAUUGCUGUCCAGUAUAUAAUUUGUGAUUUAAUGAGCAGGCUGGAGUGCUUUGACACGGAAUAAACCACAAGACAACAGAAUAAAAUAUAGUGAUUGGAUUCAAGAGGUGUGAGAUGUUUAUGUGUGUAUAGACGGUUUCAACGACAACAACAUAAACAAACGUUACUGCGCAUGCGCGCUUUUGUGGCCCUAACUUAAACUUCUGUUAGACUUCCAAAUAGAAUCAAUAACAACAGCUAAGUAGUCUCUCUAGAGUAGAUUAUUUUUGAUAACAAGCAAAAGAUGUUUGCUGCGUAAAUCAGAUUUACUGAAAAUGCAAAUUCUUUCUCUGCCAGCAGGAGGUAGGCCUACUUUAAAGCGGGAGAAACAGAGUAACUGCUGUAACUUACACAAAGCAGCGCUGAACUCACAAACGCUGCUUUAUCAGGCAUAUAACAAGCAAGAUUAAAUGAAAAUGACAUCGAAAAUUUAAUAGACUAAUUAAAGAUAGUCUUCCUUCAGAAAUGCAGUGAUAUAAAAACACCCAAGCCUCAUUUUGAUUUUUAAACGUGCAGUACAUGCUCAUUUGUUUAUACAACGAAGCCUUUUGGAAAAUCGGUCAGUUUUGAUAUUGUGAGCGCCACAAAUAAAUAAAUGUAUGGGAACCACAUCCCACAGCACUACCACCUGAGCCCAACUUCAGUUGGAAGACGGCGAUAUACUGUAUGUAUACACACACACACACACUAUGAGGUGACAAACAGGAAACAAUUAUAUAAAAAUCUGAACAUAUAGAUGUAAAUCUGAAUAUAUAAAUGUAAAUUGUUAAUAUAGUUAUAAUUCUGAAUAUAUAGUUAUAAGUCUAAAUGUAUUAUGUCCGAAUAUAUAGUUAUAAUUCUGAAUAUAUAGAAGUGAAUCUGAAUUUAUAGUUAUAAUUCUGAAUAUAUAGAAGUGAAUCUGAAUAUAUGGUUAUAUGUCUGAAUAUAUAAAUGCAAAUCAUUGAUAUACUGUAAAUGCAUAUCUUGAAAUCUGAAAGCAUGUAUAAAUCCUGAAUAUAUAAAUGCAAUUAUGUAUAUAUAUUGUCUACAGUAUGUCUCAAUAUAAAUGUAUCUUUAUUAUAAGUCAUCUCAAAAGACUUUUUAGUAUGCCUGUACAUCCUGUAUAUAGUUAAAUCAAUGUAAAUAUUUUACUAUAUUAACUAUUGUACAUGCAUCUCCUCACAGCAGUGACAAUGCUAAUACCCAUCUUUUCUACACAGUUCAGCAUGGCUGAGACAGCUAGGGAAAUUGCCAACAACAUCAUGUGUUUACAAAUAGUGAUUGGAGUGAAUAGAGACAAUUGCAGCAGAAUAUGAUAUGAGAAAUCUUAUAACUAUAUUCAGAUUUACCUUUUUUUAGAAUUUGCAUGUAUAUAUUCAGAUUUACUUCUAUAUAUUCAGAUUUACAUUUAUAUAUUCAGAAUUAUAAGUAUAUAUACAGAUUUAUAUAUGCAGAAUUAAGUAUAUAUUGCAGUUAUAUAUUCAGACUUAUAACUAUAUAAUGAUUUAUACAUAUAUAUUCAGAUUUACUUCUAUAUAUUCAGUCACAAAAUAUUCAGACUUAUAUUCAUAUUUACAUCUCUAUAUUCAGAUUUUUAUAUAAUUAUGUCCUGUUUGGCACCUCGUUUUAUAUAUAUAUAUAUAUAUAUAUAUAUAUAUAUAUAUUUUUUUUUUUUUUUUUUUUUAUUAAUGCUGCCUGAUGAACAUGGGACUUCUUUCAAAAACAUUUUUAAAAAUCUUACCAAACCCAAGCUCAUGUAGAAGAAAUGUUUGUUUUGGGGGUUGGAUGGAGAUGAACUAACCUUUAGUCUGUUGCUGUUUAGUAACUUUGAAGGUUAAUUUGCACCAUCACUUCAUAUUGAAUUACGAGAAUAAAAACACAGCUGUAAUAUCAAAAUAUACUUUAUUUUGGACUCCAGAUCUGAUUCAAAUGACAACAGACCAAUGCAAUGCAGGGGGAAUUUUUGCAACCAAAAACAUUUGACUGGGGAAACAAAGAUCAGGUGUGGGGACAUCUGAGAACACGUAGGACUCAGAGUGAGCAAAACUGAGGUCUAAGCUGUACACCCUCAAACCGACCUCCAGUAGUUUGUUGGGGUUUUCUUUUUUUUUCUCUCUUUUUUUUGCUUAUUUCUUUAGUCUUUUUAUAGCUACAAAGAAAUAUGAAUUACAAAAUUUUUAAAAGAGUACAAAAAGUCCAGGAGCCACAGAUGCAGUAAGAAUAAUUAGAAAUGACGCUGAAGAACUGAAGGUUGCUGUGGGCAGGCAGACGCUGGGGCUAUUACAGAGAAGAGCAAAGGGGCGACUCAGACACCCUUCUGUUGUCGUAGGCUGUAAUAAAUAGUGUUCAGAUGGGGUUUUUUAUCCGUUUUACACAUCUCAAAAUACAACACCCUUGUUUAAAAUUUAAGGUUAAACAUCAAUGUCCUAAAAAUAUCUUUGCGAGGGACUAAAACAGAGAUUCAGUGCCUCUUUUUACGGGACAGAGAAAGAACUUUGCAUUCUUGGGGUAUGACUUUUUUUCCCUUGAUGGUCGAGGCAUUGAAAACCUUCACUGUCUAAACACUGAGAAACACCAAAGCAUAUUAUUAUAGACUCUCCUCAUGCAGCCGAUUACUGUAAAUGAACAUCAGCAUCUCAUAACAUGGUAGUGCAGAGAAUCCCAAAAAUGACAUUUUAUUUUUAAAAGUCUUUCAGAUAUUUGUUUAAUGUUCUGUGCAACAGACUUGCUUUAGGUUUUAGUUCUUGAACAAAAACAUGCCGAAAUUUUAUUUUUAAUGUAAUGUGUAAUAGAUUUUUUUUAACAGCUGGAACUGAAAAACAAAAUUAAUUCCAUAAAUAAUCCAAUUA
ensembl:lncRNA